rnacentral:rRNA from 1 species
UCGCCCUUAGAGUUUGAUCCUGGCUCAGGACGAACGCUGGCGGCGCGCCUAACACAUGCAAGUCGAACGAGCGAGAGAGAGCUUGCUUUCUCGAGCGAGUGGCGAACGGGUGAGUAACGCGUGAGGAACCUGCCUCAAAGAGGGGGACAACAGUUGGAAACGACUGCUAAUACCGCAUAAGCCCACGGGUCGGCAUCGACCAGAGGGAAAAGGAGCAAUCCGCUUUGAGAUGGCCUCGCGUCCGAUUAGCUAGUUGGUGAGGUAAUGGCCCACCAAGGCGACGAUCGGUAGCCGGACUGAGAGGUUGAACGGCCACAUUGGGACUGAGACACGGCCCAGAUUCCUACGGGAGGCAGCAGUGGGGAAUAUUGCACAAUGGGGGAAACCCUGAUGCAGCGACGCCGCGUGGAGGAAGAAGGUCUUCGGAUUGUAAACUCCUGUUGUUGAGGAAGAUAAUGACGGUACUCAACAAGGAAGUGACGGCUAACUACGUGCCAGCAGCCGCGGUAAAACGUAGGUCACAAGCGUUGUCCGGAAUUACUGGGUGUAAAGGGAGCGCAGGCGGGAAGACAAGUUGGAAGUGAAAUCUAUGGGCUCAACCCAUAAACUGCUUUCAAAACUGUUUUUCUUGAGUAGUGCAGAGGUAGGCGGAAUUCCCGGUGUAGCGGUGGAAUGCGUAGAUAUCGGGAGGAACACCAGUGGCGAAGGCGGCCUACUGGGCACCAACUGACGCUGAGGCUCGAAAGUGUGGGUAGCAAACAGGAUUAGAUACCCUGGUAGUCCACACCGUAAACGAUGAUUACUAGGUGUUGGAGGAUUGACCCCUUCAGUGCCGCAGUUAACACAAUAAGUAAUCCACCUGGGGAGUACGACCGCAAGGUUGAAACUCAAAGGAAUUGACGG